UACGUAGGGGGCUAGCGUUGUCCGGAAUCAUUGGGCGUAAAGAGCGUGUAGGCGGUCCGGUAAGUCCGUUGUGAAAGUCAGGGGCUCAACCCUUGAAUGCCGGCGGAUACUGUCGGGCUAGAGUCCGGAAGAGGCAAGUGGAAUUCCUGGUGUAGCAGUGAAAUGCGUAGAUAUCAGGAGGAACACCGAUGGCGAAGGCAGGUCUCUGGGCUGACACUGACGCUCAUGCACGAAAGCGUGGGGAGCAAACAGG
rnacentral:rRNA from 1 species